rnacentral:rRNA from 1 species
ACUCCUACGGGAGGCAGCAGUCGGGAAUAUUGCGCAAUGGAGGAAACUCUGACGCAGUGACGCCGCGUAUAGGAAGAAGGUUUUCGGAUUGUAAACUAUUGUCGUGAGGGAAGAAAUUGACAGUACCUCAGGAGGAAGCUCCGGCUAACUAUGUGCCAGCAGCCGCGGUAAU